rnacentral:rRNA from 1 species
GACGAACGCUGGCGGCGUGCCUAAUACAUGCAAGUAGAACGCUGAAGAGAGGAGCUUGCUCUUCUUGGAUGAGUUGCGAACGGGUGAGUAACGCGUAGGUAACCUGCCUUGUAGCGGGGGAUAACUAUUGGAAACGAUAGCUAAUACCGCAUAACAAUGGAUGACACAUGUCAUUUAUUUGAAAGGGGCAAUUGCUCCACUACAAGAUGGACCUGCGUUGUAUUAGCUAGUAGGUGAGGUAAUGGCUCACCUAGGCGACGAUACAUAGCCGACCUGAGAGGGUGAUCGGCCACACUGGGACUGAGACACGGCCGAGACUCCUACGGGAGGCAGCAGUAGGGAAUCUUCGGCAAUGGGGGCAACCCUGACCGAGCAACGCCGCGUGAGUGAAGAAGGAUUUCGGAUCGUAAAGUUCUGUUGUAAGUCAAGAACGGGUGUGAGAGUGGAAAGUUCACACUGUGACGGUAGCUUACCAGAAAGGGACGGCUAACUACGUG